UUGUCAAAGAAAUCGAAACAUUCACUCUUUUCUUUGAUCUCGAAAGAGGUACUUUGAGAAAAAAUUCCGAAACGUCAUACAGUGAUCAAAUCGUCCUAAACCCCCAAAUAUUGUUCGAUGAUUGAAGGAAGAAAGGUCUACAUCAAAUAGAUUCACUGAUCAAUGGAUUCCAAAUUGAGCUUUCGGUGUAUUCUUCCCUACGACCUCCGCGCCAAAUCGAUUAAUAGGGGAUCAGUAAACGAUUUUAAGCAGUUAAAAGAGGAUGAUUCUUCUGGAAAAGAAGAAACUACAAAGAAGACUUGAUUAUAUAUGUAUCCCGAAUGAGCCAUUUACCAAACUGACAAUGAGCUAAAAUACUUGAAUCCUUCUAAAUUUGGAUCGUUAAAAAUGCUUUGGAAAUCCAUAAAGUCAAGAUACAUGUCAUCAGAUAAUGACGCGCAUGAGACAAUUGUGGAAGUGUUCAACAAAGACAUACGUAGAAUGGAUCAAAGUACCCUAAACUGGAAAAAAGGUGAGUACAAUCAGGUGUUCUCUAAUUUUUCGUAGAUUUGUACAAUGAUUAUUAAACUUACCGAGACAUCACCUAGGACCAUUUCGAUGGUCUCACCGGAGAAAGUGGUUUCAUUCUGCCAACUAUGAAUGAUUUUCACUUGGAUUUUCCAGCAAGUCUUGAAUGGCUUGAUCGAUGAUAGAUCAGUUAUUGGAAAAUUUGCUGCCAUUUUAAAAGGUAUUACGAUUGAUGAAUUGAUGAACUGAAAGUAAAUGACAAUUGUGUAUUUAUAGGUAGACGUGUAUAAUUCAUUCGUCGAGGUUAAGGUUUACAGAAUAUUCAGGUAAUUAUUCUCAUAUCCUAAUAGGAUAUCAAAAUAUUGAAAGUAACGAUUUGUGGAUGUUGUUAUUGUAGGAUAGUGUUGAAUGCGGUUUAUUGAUUGGUAAGAUUUAGUAUCCUAAUAAGUAUGUUGAGAUUGGCGUAAAUAUAUUUUUAAAGAUAUGAUAUCUUUGAUUGCUCAUAUUCGUUUUUCUUAAAUGGUUUCAGAAUGUUUUUCUUAAUUGGUUUCAGCGAUUUCCGCAUGUACUUUGUUACUUUAGGAUAAUCUUGAUUGGUAAGAUUGGUAAGAUUUAGUAUCAUAUGAUAUCUUUUCUUUCUCAUAGUUGUUUUUCUUAAAUGGUAAAUGUGAUUUUUUAAAAAUGGUUUCAGCGAUUCCCGGAUGUAGUUGGUGAGAUAUGAUUUUUGAUUCUAAAGCUGCGACAUGUAACCGGAUGGUCCAUUUAAUAUUUCACGGGUAUUUCUAAUCCGUAUCCAUUUAGUUAAUCUCGGGUUAUUUUCACUAAAUUGACCCGACCCGAAGAAGAUUAUGUACUUCUCUUUUACUAAUAUAGGGAUAGGCCUAUUUAUUUAAAUCCAUGUUAGAAAUGCCAAAAGAUUACUAGCUUUAUGAGUCAAAUUCGUGGAUUGAGGUUUUUGAUUAGAGAGUCUUUAUUUGAUAUUGAGUUACAAAACUCGAAGGAUGUGUUUGUUUAAUGAUUGUUAUUUGAUCUUUUUGAAGAAUACUGUAUUUUAUAGUUGUAAAGAGUUUGUAGUGUUUUCUAAAUAAAUAUUGAAAAUUAUAACAGCUUAAACAUUGAUUUACAACAUCAAGCGACAACUACCCGAAGCUGCAGGAUCUUCUCUUGAUCUGGUUCCGCUCUCUCUCCCCCUCUUUAUCUUUUUCUUGUUCUUGUUAUUUCAGUUCCUUGUUCCGGGCUUGUUCACCCCUGUGUUUGUUGUUGUUUUAUGGCACCCAUUACUCUAACUAUGUAACCCCUUAUGAAGUUAAUUAUAAUACCAGAAAUUUUAAGAAAAAAAAAAAUCAAGCGACAA